rnacentral:lncRNA from 1 species
AUGAAAGACGCAAUUAUGAACCAAGAAAAACUCGCCAAACUGCAGGCAUAAGUGCGUAUUGGUGGGAAAGGAACUGCUCGCAGAAAGAAGAAGGUUCAUAGAACAGCCACAACAGAUGACAAGAAAAAACUUUAGUUCUCCUUAAAGAAGUUAGGGAUAAACAAUAUCUCUGGUAUUGAAGAGGUGAAUAUGUUUACAAACCAAGGAACAGUGAUCCACUUUAACAACCCUGAAGUUUGGGCAUCUCUGUCAGGGAAGGCUUUCCCCAUUACAGGCCACGCUGAGACAAAGCAGUUGACAGAAAUGCUACCCAGCAUCUUAAACCAGCUUGGUACAGACAGACUGACUAGGUAAGGGAGACUGCCUGAAGAUCUGUCCAAACAACCUGUUGGGGGAAAAGCACCACUUGCUACUGGAGAGGAUGACAGUGAUGAAGUUUCACAUCUUGUGGAGAAUUUUGAUGAGGCUUCCAAGAAUGAGUCAAACU